rnacentral:lncRNA from 1 species
UUUUUUUUUUAUAAAUUUAAUCUACUUUUAAAAUACUCCUAAUCCAUUCGAAAUCUAUUCAUGUCUCCAAGACUUCUGCCCUCCGCUUAAUUUUUUUUUUCUUUCAUAACUUUCCAUGAAAUGUUUGCCCCAAUUUUAAUGAAAUGUAUUGCCCCAAUUUUACACUUUUAUUGACUACGAUAGACCACAACCAUGAUUUGGUACGGGAAUACUAGAUGGGGAGUAAAUGUGAAAAUACAAAAAAUAAUUUUUAUAUAUAAAAUUACACAUUUAACCCGAAAAAUGCAUGCGUGUCUCUCGUUUAUGAUUUAUCACGUAAGUCGAGGGUAGAAAUUGGGAAAAUCCAACAUUCUGAUUGUAAUACAAAAGGCUAAUUCGGCGUAUCACAACACUACUCUCUCUCUCUCUCUCUCUCUCUCUCUCAAUAUCGUUCGGUGGUUCUACCGGCGGCGUGUAGAGUAAAUGCCUAUUCAAAAGCAUUCGGAUGAUUCUCUGUCCGGAGAUGAGGAUGAUGUUGAGCUGCAACGUACUAAUCAGAAUAUUUCCGGAGAAUCCGAAGAAGACGACGUAGAACAAGAGGGAGAAGGUUUGUUCGUAAACUAUUUCUGAUUUUAGUAGUUAUACGUUCGAAUUACGUGGUUUACUGAUCCGCAUUCGUGUUUAUUACUUGAAUUUUGGUUUGCUUGAUCAGCAGAGUCGGAUGACGAUGGAAGCCCUUCCUCUAGUAGCAGCGACAAAGACGAGUGUGUUCGCCUUCUCUCUUUCUAUUUCUAUCUAUAUAUACACAGAUAACUUGCCCUAUGUUUCUGUUUGAGUUUGUAUUGUGAUUAUUAAUUUGAUCAGCGUGCUUUUAACUGUUCGUAUAGUCACUUGCGAUUGAAGAUAUGCAUGUUUUUUUUAUGAAUUUGAGUUAUUAGUCUCACUAAAUGGUGAUUUACCCUAUCGGUGGUUCUUAAUUCUGGUAGAGUAGUAGUUGGAUGUCAACAGGCGAACAGUGUAAGAAAAUUCCGUAGCUAUCUGCAUAUCCCUCUGAUUGCUUCUCCAAAUCCAUUUUUAAAUUCAUAUUUUUUAUAUUUUAAAAUUAGGUGUGUUUUGUCUGAGGAAAUUGGUUGUGAUCGUCUUUUUCACAAUAUAAACUGGAAUUUGGAUGGUGCUUUUAUGCAUGUUGGUUGACAUCAAGAUCAAAACAUAGCUUCUAAGCAAAGGCAAAGGCAAUGUUUGAUUUUCUGGUGUGACUUGUCUUUACAAAGAGAACUUAUUGAAAAGUCAACGAAGAACUAGAUAUAACAUGGAAGCCACUAAAUCUCAUCUGACCUACAUGUAAUUUAUGAAUUAAAUAUUAUUAUUUUUAUCAGUGUUGUGGAUACGUUCAUCUUUGACUUCAAAAAUGUAUCAGAACUUAAGAGUAGAACAAUUUGUCCUUGCAUAUAUAUAUGAGGGGCUAAGCCCUCAAUGGAAUUUUGUGGACCAAUCAUUUUCUAUGAGAAAAUGAGCUAAUAUUUAGAAUCAUAUAUGCAGUCCCUCAAUGGAUUGAUUAUCGGUGUAUGUAGUAACUAAGUCAACAAUAAAAUAGAAAUAGAAAUAGAAAAUGCCUCUGUUCUUCUGUAAAUCAGAAAAAAGAUAAGUAGCCACUUCCAGUUUCUGAAAAUGCAUAUAGUUCAAAGCACACACAAAAUAUUGCUCCAAGUGUCAUAUUAUUUAAAUUUUAAAAAGGGUAUUCAAAUUGAUAUUACUCAAUCAACAAACAUGCUUAUGAAUGUUCAGUAAUUUAUUCUUUUUGAACUGUGUUACAGAUUUGUUUAUGUAAAAUUGGCUGAUGUUCGCAAGGAAGUGCAGUGCCCAAUUUGUUUAGGUACUACUUUGACUUCUUUUUAAAGACGUAAAUACCCUCCUCAUCAAAAUAAGCCCUAAAAAGCUUGUAAUCACUAACCACUACCUUUUCAUCAAUAGGUAUAAUUCGGAAGACCAGAAAGGUUAUGGAAUGUCUUCACCGGUUUUGUAGAGAGUGCAUUGACAAAUCCAUGAGACUUGGGUAUGUAUUAGAAAAUUUAAAUGUUUUAAUGCUUAUCUGAUUUUUGUUUUUUGUUUAUGAUCUUUGACUUUCUUUGACCAAUAUGCAACAGGAACAAUGAAUGCCCUGCAUGUCGUGCUCACUGUGCAAGUCGCCGAUCUUUGAGAGAUGAUCCUAAUUAUGAUGCCUUGAUUGCACUCUUGUAUCCUGACAUUGAUAAAUAUGAGGAAGAGGUACAUACAUUAUGACCUAUCACUAAAUGCACUUUCAUUUAUUUUUCUUAUAAUUGAAAAAUCUAUCCAUCUAUAUCAGUGAAAUUGCUAAAACUCUGGUGACAUUGCUGUAAUUGUGUUUAACCUAUUACCUAUUCAUUCUUCACUGUGAUGUCAAUAUGUGAUGCCUGAAUGCAGGAAUUGGCCUUUCAUGAAGAGGAAAAAGCUCGGAAUAAACAGGUGUAGAUUACUUUAUUUGUAGGUUUAAUUAGAAUACAUGAUUGUAGUUUCGUUUAUCUGUUUAUUAUAACAAUUUUCACGUUCUAUAAUUGUGUAGAUAUUUCAAAAUACAAUUGUCAUAAUUAUAAGAAAAUAAAAUGAAAGUAGAAUGUUAUAAUUGGGUAAAUGUUGUUGGACAGAUCCAAGCAUCCAUAGCCCAAACUUCUCGGCGCCAGCUGGAAGCAUUAGGAAAAAAACGUGCAACUGCUAAAGCGACAGCCACCGCCUUCAUGAGAAGGUCACAGUCAAACCCUAGAAAUCUGAGGGGAAGAAAAAGACAAAAAUCCACCGAACCCCAAGUUUCCGAAAACGACCUCGAUGCUGAUAAUGAUAAUGGAGACAAAUAUUCAUCAUCUACAGAUGAGCCUGAGCCCUCAACAGAAGUCAAACUCAAAAGGUACAAAAGAUGGUCAGGAGGUCAAUCAAGUGGCGGGAAUGGAAUCUGUGAUGCCAUUUCCAAUGAGAGAGAUGGAAUUAGAAAAAAUGGUCCAGAGAUUUUGGCAUGGGGUAGGGGUGGAAUGCGGAGUCAUACGCGACAUGGUGGUCAAAGUAGUGGUGGUGGUAAAAUUGGGAGGAAUGGUCAUAUCUCAAAGCUGAUUGAUCAUCUUCAAAAGUUGCCAAGAAAUGAUGAUAAGGUAAGUAAGUUUGGUGGUGUUUGGUGUGAUGGAAUGGAAUUGACAUUCCGUCAUGGAAUGGAAAUUUGCAAUAUUAUGCAAUCAUUUCAUUCCUUCAACUUCAAACCAACUAAACAUGAUAAUGGAAUGUAAUCAUGUAUUCCAUUCCUUUGUGAUUCUAUUCCAUCACACCAAACACACCCAAAAUUUCAUUCAACACUCGAAACUUUUGAUGACUAUAUGCUAUUCUCCAGCUGGAAAUUCAUUUGAAGCUCAUAUCAUUGGAUGAGCAAAAUAUGCCCAAUUUGAAGACUAUAUUUGUUUGCUGCAAGUCCACCAUGUCAACUACAAACAUCUCUCAGGUAAAACAUAUUUUCUACAUCUAAUCUUUUCACAAACUGAUACAAUAUUUUGGUCAUUUCUUUCUAUUAACAACAUUAUACUUCAAAUAUUUUUCUUAUGAUACUUUCCAAUAAGUACAAUGUUGUAAUAAUAGGGAAACACAAUACAAAAGUAGUUAUAACUUAUAACUUGUAAUAAACAAAUCAAUGAAAGUAUGUUGCUAUUUCUUGCCUUAACCGAUGCAUGUUUAUAAUUAGUUUGUUGCUCAUGAGAACAAUAUGCAAGCCAAUGAAAUCGAGUUAUUGCUUGUGAAAGGAGAUGAUUCAGAACACAAUCUUUCACCAUUGGAAGAACAUCAAAUCUUGUUAGAUCUUGUCAAAACUUCAAGCCAAAACAAUCUGGUACACUCACUUACUUUCCUGAGAAAAGGGCGUUUAUGUCUUUUACACAAAUGAGAGAUCUCGUCCCUGACUCACCUUUCUGUUCUGUUAAUUAAUUCUUUUUAGGGGAUGCGUUUAAACAAGAAAACAUUUCAUUUGUUAUUUUUACAUUGCUAAAAAAAGUUCCCAAUCAUAACCCUAUUUUUUUUUGGUGUGUACAGACAAUAGGUUACAGGAAGAAGUUGGUUGUUGGGUAAUAAAGUCAUUGUGAAGCUGUAUUUGUCCUGGAAAGCUUGUUACUUAUUUUUAGUCAAACCAGGGAGGAAGAAUGGGAGGAUAUGUGAGAGAAAGUUAGUGAACUUAUGAAUAUAAAUUAUGGUAGAGUGUACAAGAACUGAGGUAAAUACAUUAAACUAUCUUUUUAUAUUACAGUGGCUGAAAAAAAAAAAAAAAAGGUCUACAGAUAUAGGUUUGUAUUGGUUCAAAAUGGCAGGUAAUAUGAUGGACACCCUUUUGUUUGACCUAAAGUUCGUUUACGGAAUUUGAGAAUGACGACCUGUAAAAGUUAUGUAAAAAUUGGUGUAUAAGUGGUAAACGCCAGCCUCAAUGUGGAAGUGUUUUUGCUGUCGGUAUCCUAUGUGGCUUGGAUUGUUGGUAAACACCAGCCUCAUUAUUACCACAUUGUUCGGCCUAAGGGAGUGUUAGGGACAAAAAUGACUUUUUUGUCCUUAUAAAUGAGUAAUUUAACCAUUAUAAAUGACUUUUUUUUUUGACAAAAAUGACCAAAGUUUUUUCUAUCGUUUUUUUCUUUUUGUAAAGUAACCAUAUUUUCCCAAACACAUGGUUUCAGAGUACGAUUCCGGACCAUGGUUCCGGAACACUUGAUUUUUUAUUUUAUUUUAUUAUUUUUUUGUUUUAUUUUUUGUUUUUUCAAGAGUUAGAUUACUCAAUUUCCCUUACCCUUUAUAUAAUGUAUAUUCAUUUCAGACAGGCCUUCGGUGUUAGUAUGAUUCCAUAACGUUUUCUUAUUGUUAUUUGUGAUUUGUGUAAAUAUGUUUUUAUUAUUUUUUUUUAGAAGUUUUGUUUAUAUAUUAAAUAAAAUGCAAUGGAUAAUCUUAAAAUCAACAAAAACUAGAGAUGUCAAAAAGUUAUGUGGGACCUCGAUCCUCUAUGGGAGAUAUUUAUUUAAAAAAUCGGGGGCGGGAGUAAUGUUUAUUCCCGUUCUAAUUUCGGGGGCGGGGAUGGGCAGUCCCAUCCCGAACCCCGAAUGGGGUCCUCGUUAAUAUAUUAUUUACAUUAAUAUAUNNNNNNNNNNNNNNNNNNNNNNNNNNNNNNNNNNNNNNNNNNNNNNNNNNNNNNNNNNNNNNNNNNNNNNNNNNNNNNNNNNNNNNNNNNNNNNNNNNNNNNNNNNNNNNNNNNNNNNNNNNNNNNNNNNNNNNNNNNNNNNNNNNNNNNNNNNNNNNNNNNNNNNNNNNNNNNNNNNNNNNNNNNNNNNNNNNNNNNNNNNNNNNNNNNNNNNNNNNNNNNNNNNNNNNNNNNNNNNNNNNNNNNNNNNNNNNNNNNNNNNNNNNNNNNNNNNNNNNNNNNNNNNNNNNNNNNNNNNNNACGAGAAUUUCGGGGGUGGGGGCGGGGAUGCCGUUUGUCCCCGUUGACAUCUUUAACAAAAACCAAAUAGAUUUAUAAACCAAAGGCAGUUGUUUAAAAAUAUUACAAUGUUCAAGUUAUCUUAUUCCUUAUAUUCCAAAAUAUUUAUGUCAGUCGUUUACGAUAUGACAUAACCCAUGUAACGUUUGGACCGUUUAUAGAAUACGACUUCCUGGUGAUCAAUGCUUCUAGGAACCAACACAAAAACACCUCGCAAUCACCUCUGCAGUCAGUCAAUCUGUUGUGGUACUUGUGACACAUAAUGUGCUGUCAAUCUGUUGUGGUACUUGUGACACAUAAUGUGCUGCCAAUUAAAUACAUUUGUAAUUAAAUAAGUGUUGUUAGUAGAAGGGUAGUACGUAAAUGAGCAGGCUAAUAAUGUAACUUACACCACAUUCCAACCACCCUACAUGACUAUCCGUAUAUAAAGGCGUCCAAAAUUCAAUCGUCGAAAUACCAGUCAAAAAAUGGUGAGUGAACAACUCUGAACCAUCUCGUUGUUUAUAAAGAGUGUGUAUGGCAGGUUCUAAGAGAUUGUCCAACGGCGCUGGAUGUUGUCAUACAACAUAUUUCCUUUUCAUUUGUAUCCAUGGGGACUUAUACUAUAUGGACAUUACUUUUUGGCACAUAGAAUGCCGAAGUGCUUGCGAGGGUGUUUUGUAUUGAUCCUGCGGAAUUUCUUUUACAUCCGACGAAUGAAUAAAUGGAGAUGGUUGCUCAAGGCCAUCAUGUAGCGGGUUUUCAGGUGUGUCUGACCCGUAAUCACGGUCCCAUAAGUAAUUGACUUAUAUUUCUAUUUUGACUAGAAUGUGCCUGAUGCAAAAAGGUAUUGACUGUUAGGCUGUGUCCCUAAGGAUUCGACCCUGCUUCCCUGUGCUAUACUAUUAAAAACAAUUUCGUUUCUUUGAAGUUUUGAUUUUUAAUGUUCCAAAUGUGUUAAAACAUCUUUUUAAACCUUAAAAAUAAAUCUCGGGGGUACAAAAAUCAUUUUUCUGGGCGAUUUGGGAUUUCGGGGGUCCAAAAUUUGGCAUUGACAAACAAAGAGAACACGGGCAGUGUCCCUUUUUAGCUUGAAAUGAAACACAGGUUGUGUCGAAAUUAUUUUUGAACAUGUCCUGAAAAAUCCUCGCGAACACAGGCCGUGUUAGUUUAGUGCAAAUUAACACGGGUCGUGUUUAAACUUCAACGCCAUUUUCAGCCUUUUUUGAUGAACACGGGCCAUAUCAUUUUAGUGCAAAUCAGGAUGGGCCGUAUUCAUGCACUCGUUAAAAAAUUGUGUUAAGUGUCAAAUAUGGUUUUUAUCACCUGUAACUCAUCCCCAAAACAAUUUCUCUCUUCCAAGAACCCUUGGGUCCAAAACUUUCACAACCUUUUUUGGGUGCUUUUGUGUUUGGUACUCAUGUAGGAAAGCUUGGGGAGGUUGAAGAUGAGGUUCUCACCACCAACAUCAAGGCUCUAAGAAAGAUUCGGUAAAUUCUUUUAAUAUCUUUAAUCGUUCAUAUUUUGCAUAAAAAAAUCAAUUGACAGGCCGUGACUAUUUUGGACUCCUUCCCAACCCGACUACCAUCCCCCACCACCUUCUGGUGAUUAUAUAGUUUAUCCCUAUCUGAGCAUCGACGACGAUGCUUAUAUUCAAUCUUAGGGAGAGGUAGAGUUGAUACAUUAGGAUUUAUCUUCAUGCAUUGCAUUUGCAUUUAAAAAAAUAAAUCAAUAAAUUCAAAAAGAUUUUAACUUUCUUAUUUUCAUUUUUCUCUUGCAUUCUGCAUUUUAAAAUUUACAAAACCAAAAAGAUUUUCUUUCUAUUUUAAUUUUAAAGUUUUUGCAUUUCAUUUUUUGCAUUGCAUCCAUAAACUUAAAAAAAAAAAAAAAGUCAAAAAACCGAUCCAUCAAUUAUAAGGGGUGCGGGUAGUUGACCGCCUUGAAGUCCAAACACAUAAAAAAAUAAAAAUAAAAUAACUCCUCACUUCGAAUGUGUCUCGAAUAAUAACGAAUGAUAGACUUGAAUGUGUCCUCCGUGUCGUGGGUUUGGUAACUCAAAAAUAAGGGGUAGAUGAUUUUCUAUGUUGAGUCAUGGAGUAAAGAAGGGUGAAACAACUUUUGAAAAUACCUCGCUCUUUAAAACCCGAUACUUAACGCCAACUCCUAUUUGAAAAGACCGAGCAUCCAUCUUUAUAAUAACUUUUGGGUAGACCUCUUGAAAGGGGAUUCUGUUGCAUCCACACGUGUACACAUCGUCUAAAGUAUUGAAUACUUGGUUGGCCAUUGCACUUAAUCGGGCCAAAAUUUACAUAAGAAAAUGAUUCAAGAAUCAAUAAAGCCACAACUAAAGAAGAAUCCACGAACCAAGUCUUACACCAAAGAGAUUUAGAGCAAGCAAGUCAAAUAAAAAAAAAAGCAAUAUCAAAAAAAACAAAAGAAAGCAACUUGAAGAAGGGAAAGACAAAGUUCAUCAGAAUAAGUCAAAGAAGUCAAUUUGAAGGUUAAAGACGCAAGCAACACAAGAUCUCGAGUGGAUGUAAAAAUCGGUACCUUUGGGAGUAAGCCUGAGAUGGACAGUGAGCAUUGGGAUGGAAUGAAAGGUUGAGUCAACCCGGAGUACACUAAGGGAGUUUAGACAAGCGUUCCCUUUUUUAAAAUAUGAUACCUUCCCAAAUAAAAUAAUUUGACACCGAGGUUGUCUACAUUUUAAAAACCAUUGAAUGUGUGACUUUCAUAUGAUGUCUUAUGACCCUCUGACUUUGAACUCUGGGCCCAUGAUUGGCAUUUAAAGGAUAAAGUCCAAGGUUUGACUCUGUUGAGACUUUCUUGAAGUUAGAAUAAUAAAACGAUAACAUUUUGUGUUUGGAUAGUUGGUAAUUGACUUUCAUGCCCUGGUGAUCGCACAAGUAGAAUUAUGAAAUUUGGAUAAAAAACAAUUUUGUUUACUUUUAUUUUGAAACUUCUUAAGUUUAUUUUCUAGUUUCUUUUGUACAUAUGUUAUUUUCAUGUUUUUUAUUGCAUGCAUUCGUUCUUAGCUCCUUUAUGAUCUUUUCGUCCCCUUUCUGUUCUAUGUUUCUUUUUUCCAUCUAGAAAUCAUCCCGUUUUGUCUGAUUCUCGUUCUUUCUUGAGGACAAUAAAUAUCUAAGCUUGGGGAGAUUUGUUAGGUGAAUUUCGUGCACCUUCUUGCACACUUUUUCGUCCCUUUUAUGCAUCCGUUUAGUGUAGUUUAUUUCAUUUUAUAUUUAAUUCAUUAAAAGUCAUGUUAGUUUCUAGAACAACCUUAUUUGCACGUUUUUACAGUCCUUUCAGGUGAUCCAGAGGUGGAAACGCGGUUCGGGAGGUGCCAAGAAGCAUGAGUGAAGGUAACAGGACGAUUGGACGCGAUUUUUUUUUUUUGAAAAAACAAGUUUUCACCCGGAAGCAGAGACGAACACAGACCAUGUCGAAAAUUGCACUGAAAAUUGAACAUGGGGCGUGUUUGAUCAAAUUUGAGCUGUUGACUUUGCUGAACAGGGACCGUGUUGUUUUAGCCUAUAUCAACACGGGCCUAUAUUAACAUGGGCCAUGCUCGACCCAAAAAAAAAAGAACUAACUUUUUUCAGUUUUUCCUAUCUUUCAUAUUACAGUAUUUUGGGUAUUUUUUUCACACACACUUCAUCUCCAGAGAACUUGGAGAAGAGGAUUUUGAGUACUACUUAAAGGUUUUGAUUGUAAUCAUUUUAAACAUUUUGUCUUUAUAUUUGUAAGUCUCGUUGCAAAUUAUUUCAUCUUUUCGUAAACUUAUAGAUUAUUCUAGUCAUGUGCGGCUAGAACCUUAGUUUCUCCAACUUUAUGUUUGACUUUUUAGUUGUGAUUUCAGUCAUAUGACUUUAUGUUUUAUUUCAAUUUCUAUCUAGUGAAUUUGAUUUUGUUUUAAUCGAAUGUUUGAUUCUAAUUGUAAUUCUUAUUGGCCAUCUGAAUUAAGGUUAGCUCAUUCAAGUUAUAUAAUUGCAAAAUCCGUAAUUGUUUUGUGAAGUAGACUAUGUAGCAAGUACUAAAUUGAUUUCCAUUGGAUGAAUUUUGUGUAAAUGUUAUUCACACACUCUUACGCUCCCGAGCUUGUGAGUAGUAUUGGGUGUUGUUGGUAACAUUCACACCAAACUUCAUGCAAUCCUUCAAUCUAAUUCUAUGAGCUUGUUUAAGUUAGGUUAUUGAGGUUAGGGUUAAUCAAAUAGCUUAUUUUGGUUAAUUAAUGUGGUAAAUGGAAAGUGUUAGAGAUUGUUAACACUAUUAAAUACUAACUUAGCUUGAAUUUAGUAAAUAUCAUGUUAUCUUUGAAUCGCAUUGCCAAGUGUCAUACAUGGAGUUGGAGCCUUUCAUAAAAUAUGAAUUUAUUUCAAUUAGUUGAUCGUGUAAUUGUUUCUUUAAUCAUUUAAUUGAAUUAUUGCAUACAAAACCCCCUUUGUACUUUUGGUGACAUAAAUACCUUACAUAAAGAGGUAUAAACUUUAGUCACAUGUCUCUGUGGAUCGACCAUGUUUAUCAUGUACUACCUUUUAGUGCAAUAUAGUGGUGCUCUUUUGGAGUAUAUUGUACACCUAUCAUUUUUUAGGUUUGACAACCUAACACACACCCAAAAUAUUGAUAGUGUUCCAUGAUUGACCUCACAUAUAGGCCCUUAGGUGGGUUGACGUGGUCUGCUUAGAUGGUGCGGUUUAUCACCCUUUUAAUAUCCACCGUACCAGUUUCAGAUUUUUCAGUAUGGAUGACAAGAAAAAAACAAGCUUCUUUAAAAAAAAUGCUUUUAUAAGAUGUCAUCUGUGAAAUUACAGAUGACGUAUAAGAAAUACUUUUCACAUAUGGUCUCCGUAACUUUGAAGAUGCCAUCUACAAAAUCCUCCCAGACAACUAAAGUCCCUUUGUUUUUUCCUACUUAAAUACAUACCAUAUUUUUGCAAAUCACUGCCAAUUCCGAAGUGUAACACCCGAGUUCCCGAUGCAUAUUUUAUCUGAUUAAAUGUUAAUUUCUAUUUUUUUUUUCGAGUUUUGCGGGAGGCAUAACACGCCUUGAUGAUGUGAUGAAGCCUUAUUCCCUGGAUUUGAGCAUAUUUAUGGGGAACAAAGCCCUAUGGUUAGGUCAUUCUCAACCUCCAUCACCCUCCAAAAGAUCUUUGUGAAACCUAGCCUCCUCUUUCUUGUUCAUGAGCAUUUUUGGUGAUUUAGAGUUUAUUUCAACCAUUUUGGUGAAACUUGAACGACAAGAAGUUUUCCUUUAUUGAAGGGAAAGUGGUUUCAAGUGUAGAUCCAUCAAAAUCACUCCAUUUAUGUACCUUUGUGAGUAUAAAUUUCAUAUCUUAAUCUUAAGAUUCAUUAAAUCUUGUUAUGUGUGGUUUUUGGCCUAUUCUGUCCCUUUUUCGUUGUGUUCUUAGGCUUGAGAGAACUCCAGAAUCGUUUGAGCACCUUGAAAUGCUUCUUGGACAUUUUGGAGAUGGAAAAAUGGGAUUUCAUUAUUUCUUAUUAAUUCAAGAAAGAUUUAUUGUACAUUUAAUCACUUUUGAGACUUUGGGUUUUAGAUCUUGCUUGUUUGGACUUCCUAAAUGGAUAAAAUUAGAAACUUUAUCCAUUCAGGGACUAAAGGGAUUCAAAUCUAAGGAAUAGGACUUCUGACUUACUGUAUUAAGUCAUUUUGGUUGGCUGUUUAGCAUGGGGGGUGGCGCAUAUUUUUAAAAUCCCAAGUAAUUUAUCUUUUAGUGGUUGUGGAGCACCCAAAAAGGCCAUUGAACGCAUUUAACCAGAUUGUUGACUUCUUAACUUUUUAAAACAAGUUUAAAUUUGGUUCAAACUUUGGGAUUUUGAGCUAUAUACUGAUUUUUAACCUUUUUUUGGUGUUUAGUUGGUUUGCGAGCUUGAUCUGUGCGAGUAUUUGUGUGUGCAACAACAAUUCUUUAGUUUCUUGUUCAGGUGAGUCUUCUCACUAUACUACAUAUGAAUUUAUAUAUCCUUUGUAUGAUAUGAUAUAAAUAUUGUUUUUGUGAGGUAUAUGGUUGAUAGAUUAUCUGAUAUUGUUAUGUGUUGUGUUUAGAUGGGGUAUUGGUAGUAUUGGUCAAUUGUUGAGUGAAUACCCUAGGGGUUGCACGUAGUUUAAAUUAGAUAGCGUGAGAACUCUUAUUAUGGCCUUAUUGAUGUAACAUCCCAAAAACUGUGAUAAAGUUUUCAUUUUUAAAAUCCUCAAUCACAUACAUCAUAUGUGUAAAAAAACAACCAUGAUACAAACUAUCCAAAACAUCAAAGUAAAAGAAAAUCAUAAUUGUGGAAACAAGAGGGGGAAAAUGGUGUGCCAUCACGUCAUGCCCUUCCUUUUUGAACCGGAAGUAACUGAAACCAUAAACAUAAUUGUAAUCACAAAGAUUAGUGAGCUUCCCUAAAAUACCACACACAACAUACACAUAAAUAUAACAACACAUGGUUGUGUCGGGUCCGUAUCAACCCCGAAUCCAAAAUGAAUCUGAACCCAAAUUGGUUCCAAGCAUAUAACAUACAAUCAUACUAGUAAUAGUCACAUAGUCACAUAUACCCUACACACACAAAUCAAUGGGCCGACAUUGGUGCCUUCGACCCACUAUUGUGGUGAGAAGACUCAUCUCACAGAAAAUGUUCUACUGCUAUUGCUCUCACUGAUAGAGUAUUGCUGCUACACACCACCUAUUCAAUCAAACCAAAUAAACCUUGAGCUCAUCCUCCAAAUUAGGUGCUUGACUAAGAGUCAACUCACGUCAAAAGUUAAUGGUCAAAGUCAACGGUCAACAAUGACUUUAGUCAACCGCCCCGUCGUGGCCACCUAUGGCCACGUCGUGGCCCUCUAGUAACAACCAGACGUGAUUUUUCCCAUCGUCACUUUGUGGUGACCUGAGCCACACUGUGGCAUUGGGUUUUCAACAACUUAAUGGAUUAAGCUCUUUUCUUCGAUCCUAAGGACCCAAAAUUUCAGAUCUGGCCCAAAACAAAGUCUAGAAGGAUAAAGUUUCAAACUUUACUUGAUAAGACCACCCAAAAGGGUCCAAAAACUCAAACCCUGUAUUAAAGGAGCUAAAUAAGACAUGACUUUCCCCAUUAAGCACUUAUUCCAAAAUGUUCGUGGCUCAUUUACUCCAGAACAGUUUCUAGUACCAAAUCCAACAUAAAAGUUGGUGCGUUAUCGUAAUGCCCUGAUUUUCAAAUAUUACAUUUUUGACCCUUAUAAUGAGUUUUGUUUGCAAAAUGGCCCAUAGUGGCAUUGUCGUAAUUUUAGGCUUAAAGUUAGUACACUAGGCAUACGAUGUAUACGCUGAGCAUACUAGGGUGGCCCUAGUACGCUGAGCGUACAUCUCGUACGCAAGGCAUACACACAUGAUGUCUAAACCCUAAUUUUUAGGGUUUUGGCCAUAUAUAAACACCAUUAUAACCUCAUGCUUCACAUUCUCAGUAGCUUCCCUCUAUGUAAAACGUCUUCAAGCAACCAUAAGUGAGAAGAGACCAUUUUGAGCUCAUAGGAGUGUUUUGGAGGUGUGUUUGAAGAAGAAGAAGGUGGUGAGAAGAACUUGGAGCUUGAAAGCACUUUGGAUCUGAGAUUCCUUUCUUGUUUGCAACCUCCAGGAUUGGAUCCGCGGGAGCAAGCAGAGUAGCAAGGAGAGUAUCACAGUGUUCUCGGGUUUCUUCAUUCCAGGUGAGUUUUGCCUCAUUGUACCGUGGGUCGAAGACACUAAUGCCGACCCACUAGUUUUUGGUUAUCUGUUAGUAGAGGGAUACCAUAAGGACUGUAUAUAAUCAUGUAGGAUAGACUGAGGACUCUUGAUCUAGGAUUUCUUACUUGUUUCUUGUUUGGUUUUCGUUCUAGAGUACGAUCACCUAUCUGGGUGUCUAUCUCACCUCUGAUUAUAUAUGGUCAUGCAUUUAUUGGAUUAUUGUUAUUUAGUAUGUUUCUAUGUUGUAGUGAUCUGUUAGAUCUAUAUUCUGUUAUCGAGUAUGUUGUUGUGCUGUGGUGAUCUGCUAGAUAUGUAUAUUGAUGUCGAUUAUGUUGUUAUGUUGUAGUGAUAUGUUAGAUCGGUAUCUUAGUAUGUAGGAUGUUGCUAUGAUAUAGUGCACUGUUGGAUCUAUAUGUUAUCUGUACUUACUGGUUAUCAUCUGGUGAAGUGCCCUAGGACUGUCUGUGGUCAUGUAGGAUAGCCUGAAAACUCUUGGUCUAAUAGUUCUUGCUUGUUCCUUGUUUGGUUGUGGCUCCAAAGUAGGAUCAUCUGUUCGGGUGGUUAUGCAUUUCAUGGAGAUUAGCUGGUAGUAGGACUGUAUGAUGUGAGAGGAAUUGUAGGCGGUAAUGAGAUGUAUGUUUGAUGUUUCCAUGUACUAUAUGCCUACUUGAUCCUUGUUUGUUUAUAUGUCAACAUAUGGUGGUAGUGGGUUAAGGCGAUCCUGCUUUGUGUUGUAGGCCAAGAUACCCGAAGUGGGCCAGCUGUAAGCCGAAGGUACGAAGGCUCUGGUAGAGCGGUUGGGUUGAGGCGAUAGGCCAACAAACCCUGGGUAUUCCAAAUCGAUGGUUGAUUGGACUCGAUGCAUGCUUGUAUGUUUAUCUAUGGGGUAUUUUGGGGGAGACUCGCUAAGCUUUAUGCUUACCCGGUUGUUUAUGGAGACUGAGGCUGAGAAAACCCUAACCUCUUCAUUCUUUUAAAUUGGGAGCAAAACCUGGAAAAUAAGGUUUGUCACUUGCCAGCUGCCAUGUCAUGGCAUAUACCGCCAUGUCGUGACAGCUUAAAUGAAACACGCGACCUGAUCUUGACUCGCUGCGUCAUGGUGCCUCCCUAUCACGUCGUGGCAAACCUUAAAAAUCCAAAAAUUACAAAAUAUAAAGUACCUCGGGAUCCGGGUGUUACAAUUGAAUGGUUCUUUUCAGAUUGAUUGCACUCGGGUAUGAUCAUUUGUUUGACUGUCUAUCUUAUUUACUGACUACGUAUGACUAUGCAUUCACAAGGUGAUCCUUAAAUAUUGGCAUUAGUAAUCUGUAUAGGUUUGCUUGUAUAGGGAUAUGCUUUGUCGAGAUUAUGACAAGAUUGGAACAGGCUGUAAGGCAAACAGGUUUGGUUGACAAGAUGGGAACAGGUUGUGAGUCAAACAAGCCCGGUUGGGAUGAUAGCAAGACUAGAGUAGGUCGUGAGCUAUAGAGGUUUGAUAUAUAUAUAUAUAUAUAUAUAUANNNNNNNNNNNNNNNNNNNNNNNNNNNUGUUGUGAUCGACUGAAUCUGAGAGUCGUUGUUUGUAAGUAUUGUAUGUAUAGUGGAAUAUGUGGUGUACUGGGGAACUCACUAAGCUUUAUGCUUAAGUUGUUAAAUCAGGUUGUUCGAGGGAAGGUUGUGGUAUAACUAUACAUUCACAUCGAAGAUUUAUUAUUAUUGACUUCCAUUGCUUUUAUAAAUUAACUUUGUUUCACUAUGUUUUAGAAACGAAAGGAUAACAUAAUAUGUUUUCAGAAUUGUGCUUGAAUGUUUAAUCUGGUUUUAAAUGAAAAUUUUGGUUUGAAAUUUGGAACGUUACACGAAGAUAUCAUCUGCAAAAUUUAUGGCUAUUUUGGAGAUUUGACAAAAUUUUGAUUAUUUACUGGUAAGUGUUUAAUGGAAUUACACAUAAUUGUCUUUUUCUCCAUAUUUUUGGCAAGACCAUGAUAUAAAUAAGAGAGUACUUAUGCUUAUUAUGUAUUCAUAAUCUUAGGCGAGAUGUGACAUAAAACAAGUUCUUAAUGUAACAUGUCGACGUUAGAUACAUUCCACAUCGUACAUUUCUGACUAGAUAGUGUAUAUUAUGCAAUGUUUCCAUCAUUUCUUUCUUAACAACCAAGAAUUCGUAAUAACAUAUUCAUAUAAAAAUGAGUUCAUCAAAUCGAGUUCACAAAGAAAGCUUUGCAAACCUCCUUAUUGAUUGUCAUAAUCAUCAAAUAACUAACCCAAUAAAUUCUAUUCACAUCAAGAAAGAUGUGAACAACUAUUUUGAGUUUUGUUUUCUUGUUUUGAGAUGUGUAAUAAGAUACUUUUGUAAUAUAACGCUCGUUUGUCAUAAAUAUUGUUAUGAUUGCUUGUGUAAUAUUUUGUAGAUUCCUACAUUUUUGAGUUGCAUGUGUGAUAAGAUACCACUGGUCUUUAUAAGUAGUCUCUCUCUAAAAGGAAACUACUUGCACAUGAUGUUCAUAGUGUUUGCCAAUGACGAAAACCAUCAAACUCUACCUCUAGUGUACGUUUUGGGCGUGACACAGAGUGUCACAUCUUGGUCCUAAUCAAGGGCAUUUGGGAAGUAGUACUUUUUAACCAAUUUGUCCUUAUUACAUUGAAAUUACCCUUAGUCAUGUCUUCUUAUAUUCAUAUGGUAAGUAUUGUUGUUGGAAUAUCAUUCUUACUUUCAAGUUUGCCUUUGGUGGGUAGGUGUUUUUUGUAAGGAUCAAAUUUGACAAAGGCCAAAGGAAAAUUAAAAUGUUAGGAAAAAUAAAUGUUUGGCGAAACAUCUCAAUAAACUUUGUUCUCAGUUUUCCAAAAGUUUUUUCAUAGUAAAAAACUUUAAAAAAUUGUUGGUGAUGUUAUUAGUAUCAUAAAAUGCGAUUGUUAUAGACGUGAUAAAAUUUAUCUUUUUCAUGAACAACUCUAUUUCAUGGGUAAGGUGCAAACAAACCAAGCUACUCGAGAUUGAAUCGUUAAAAUCUCGAUUUGAGAUCGAUUAUAAACGAGCCUGAGCCGAGCUCAAGCUUAAUAUUAGGCUUGUUUAUUAAACGAGCUCGAGAUCGAGCCUUUGUUUCUUGGUUUGAUUAGGUUCGCGAGCCUAAACGAGCCUACAUAUAUAAUAAAAAAAUUAUUUUUAUUUUUAUAUAUUAAAAAUAAAUAAUAAUUUAAUAAAUACCAUUUUAGUAAAUUAGAGUAUACCGUAAACGAGUCAGGCUUAAAUCGAGCCCGAUCCCGUACAAUUCUUAACGAGCCGAUCUCGAGCUUUGUACCACAAGGCUCGAAACGAACCGAGCUCAAGCUCAAGCCUAUAAAUAUUUAAACGAGCCGAACCCGAGCCUGGUCAGACUCAAGCUCGAGCUUGACUCGGAUCGUUUGCAGCCCUAAAUCAUGGGAGAUGCGUGAUUAUCUCUUCAUCAGUAAAAUAUAUUAUUUUAAACAACAUCAAGGAAAAUUGUCCGGGUGCACCAUUAUACCAAUUCAAACAAUUGCUUCGGAUUUGAGAUUGUUUUACUUAUUAAAUAUUAAUACUUAAUACGACGUUAUAUUAAUAAAGAAACAAUAAUCAAUAAAACAGCAUUAUAACUGUGCAUUCUAGACAGUUCUUUUCUUCAAAUUUGUAACAAAAGUAAUAUUCCGAAUAUAAUUUUUUUUUUUGGUACGUAACGUUCUUUACGAUAUGUACAAGUUGUCAUGAGGCACACGGAAUAUUCUAACAAAAAUACGUAGGGAAAAAAAAUCACAGCCUUCUAUAAAUGGAUUUGAUCCGUUUUAUACGGGUACCUUGAUGAUAAUCGAAUCCAAAUGCUCAAUCUGUAAAAACUGGUUGCUUUAAAAAAGCAUUAGUUUUUUUUUUUUUCUUAAAUAAUACAUACAAAUAGUCAAGUUUUAUAAAUAUCCUAUAGACAAUUUCAUAUAUCAAUAUAAUUUUAAACUUUUAUAACACCUGGUUUGAUUAAGAUCAACCUUUAAAUUUUAUCCUUUCUCAUCCACCACUUGUGACUUUACACAUUUUUUAUGCCAUUCCUUUGUUUGCUUCAUUAAUCCAAUCAUUGAAAUAUCAGUCUUUAUCCACAAGAAAUAUCCAUUCAAUAUCGACAAGUUGCAAUCACGGGUCAUUAACACACUAAUGAGGGAUAAUUUCGUAAUUUUAAAUUAUAAUCGGAAUCAACAAUCAACAAAAGAUAGACAUCAACACAAGAUAAUAUUAAAAACAUUACAAAAUUAUAUAAUACUAUUAACAAAAAUUAUUAGACCCUAUAGAUAUAAAGUUGAUAAACAUUAAACACUACACAUUUAUAUAGUCGUAUCUCAUAUCCAUAUCCACCGAUCACGGUGUUGAUCCAACGGCCGAUAACAAGGGUACACACGAUAAGCUUCUACACGUCGUAUCAGACGAUUACACUACAGGCAAACAUGAACACGUGGCGAUCAACGAAACAGAGAGUACGAUAUUUACACUCACCAAUCGGUGACUUUAGCAACCGCUUAACGAUGUUUGCUCCUUGUCUCACCACUGUAGAGCCUUCGGAAUCAAAAACAAAAUCACAGAUUAGAAAUCAAAAAGUUAAUACAAUCUUACAGAUCUAAAACAACAUCGAAGAAAUUAAAAUUCGAUUGUUUCAGAAGAACAUAAAGAAGUUGAGAUGAUCAUGAAGUUGACUGUAGAACAGAUUACCAGUCGUAAACAGUUGGAGAUCCGACGGUGCUAGGAUUGUCGAAGUAAUUAGAUCCGACGCUCUUGGUAGCAAGGUUACUACCGGGAUUAAACACGCUCCUCCACACAUUAUCCUUACGCGCCGCCGUUGGCGACGGAGUUGUUGGAGUUCCUGGCGUCGUUGGAGUCGGCGGCAUCGAUAGAGACUUCUGGAACUUGCUGCUUCCUUCUCCUAGAGGUCACAGAUUUUAAUAUAACAGUCAGAUCUAAGUUUCAAAUCAGUCGAUUAAAUCAGCGUAGGAGUUGCAACAUGUUUAAAUUGAUUAACUGUGAGAAUUUGGAACGAUUUAAUUUUGAUUUUGAUUAACAUGAUCGUGCUUAAACAUAUGUGAAACGACGCAUGUGUAAUGAAUAAUUAAUAUAGAUGCAUGGAGAUUGGAGAAAUCAGUAAUUCAGUAUCACCACCUUU